rnacentral:lncRNA from 1 species
AAAGCGAAGAAUAAACAUUAGGCCGCGGCGAUUUAAUCCACUAACACAACUGGUUGCACAGGAAUGGUGGGUGCCGCGACUCCGCUUGGGCUGAGAGGGAGCGACGUGUUCAACUGAUGCCUCAGCUCGCCAGGGUCAAUGCCAGGACCUCUGAGGAAUGGGCAAGCUGGCGGGAAAAGGAAGGAGAACGAGGGCAAGGGGCCUAUGAGGUGAUGGACGGAGAAGUAGAAAGGAGAGGCAGAGUCCGGACACCGGGACGGGUGAACAGGCAUGGGAGACGUUGGCCUGGAUGGUGGUGCAUUGUUCCAGGGGGGGUUCUGUGGCUGGUGCUCCAGGAUGAGGCACCUCUUCACCCCUCUGUGGGGUUGUCUGAGGUGGGAGGCAGGUUGCUUCUUGCAGCUGCUGUGGUGUUUGUUCUUGGGCUGGUCCUUCUUCUCAUCAAAUUCUUCACAUACAUUCGGGAUCAAAGGAGGCAGUGGAGGGUGCCCUUGCACUUGCAAAAUGAAGAUAUCAGUUUGACUCAAGAUUUCACGAAGCAACAGGCAUGGUGA